UGGGGAAUCUUGCGCAAUGCGCGAAAGCGUGACGCAGCAACGCCGCGUGAGGGAAGACGGCCUUCGGGUUGUAAACCUCUUUCAGGGGGGACGAAGGUUCACCGGUGAAUAGCCGUGUGGAUUGACGGUACCUCCACAAGAAGCCCCGGCUAACUACGUGCCAGCAGCCGCGGUAAUACGUAGGGGGCAAGCGUUGUCCGGAAUCAUUGGGCGUAAAGCGCGCGUAGGCGGCCCAGUAAGUCCGUUGUGAAAGUCAAAGGCUCAACCUUUGAAAGCCGAUGGAUACUACUGGGCUUGAGUUCGGAAGAGGCGAGUGGAAUUCCUGGUGUAGCGGUGGAAUGCGCAGAUAUCAGGAGGAACACCAAUAGCGAAGGCAGCUCACUGGGACGAUACUGACGCUAAGGCGCGAAAGCGUGGGGAGCGAACAG
rnacentral:rRNA from 1 species